AGCAGCCGCGGUAAUUCCAGCUCCAAUAGCGUAUAUUAAAGUUGUUGCAGUUAAAAAGCUCGUAGUUGAAUUUCGGGAUCAAUAUAUUGGUCAUGCUUAGGUAUGUACUGGUAUUAUUGAUUUCUCCCUUCUGAAGAACCAUGAUGUCAUUAAUUUGAUGUCGUGGGGGAAUCAGGACUGUUACUUUGAAAAAAUUAGAGUGUUUAAAGCAGGCUUUCGCUUGAAUACAUUAGCAUGGAAUAAUGAAAUAGGACGUUUGAUUCUAUUUUGUUGGUUUCUAGGAUCGACGUAAUGAUUAAUAGGGAUAGUUGGGGGGCAUUAGUAUUCAAUUGUCAGAGGUGAAAUUCUUGGAUUUAUUGAAGACUAACUACUGCGAAAGCAUUUGCCAAGGAUGUUUUCAUUAAUCAAGAACGAAAGUUAGGGAAUCGAAGACGAUCAGAUACCGUCGUAGUCUUAACCAUAAACUAUGCCGACUAGGGAUGAUGUUAAUUUUUUUGAAUGACUCAUUCAGCGCCUUACG
rnacentral:misc_RNA from 1 species